rnacentral:rRNA from 1 species
UGGGGAAUCUUGCGCAAUGGGCGAAAGCCUGACGCAGCGACGCCGCGUGAGCGAUGAAGGCCUUCGGGUUGUAAAGCUCUGUGGGGAGGGAAGAAUAAGGCGGUGCUAAUCAGCCGCUGAUGACGGUACCUCCUUAGCAAGCACCGGCUAACUCUGUGCCAGCAGCCGCGGUAAGACAGAGGGUGCAAACGUUGUUCGGAAUUACUGGGCGUAAAGCGCGUGUAGGUGGCUUCGCAAGUCGGAUGUGAAAACCCCAGGCUCACCCUGGGAAGUGCACCCGAAACUGCGUCGCUAGAGUCCCGGAGAGGAAGGUGGAAUGCUUGGUGUAGAGGUGAAAUUCGUAGAUAUCAAGCGGAACACCAGUGGCGAAGGCGGCCUUCUGGACGGUGACUGACACUGA